AGGUAUGACGAUGACCUCGAUGAGGUCGAAGAAGAAGACCACUUUGAAGAUGUAGAUGAAUUAGAGCCAACAGAAGACACUGAGAAUAUUGACAUUUUGCCCACAGCAGAAAAAAGCCAAGACCACCAACAAGAAUCACCACACAAUAUAUGACAAAAUAUGAGAGAGCAAGAGUAUUAGGAACUAGAGCUCUACAGAUAAGGUACUUGACCCUUUAACUCUCAGAAGUGAUUAAUAUGUAAAUUCUCCCUGUAAUAUCCAUACAUUAUUCAGCAAACAGGUAAUGAGAAUACUCAAACUCAUCAGGUAAAAGAUACCACCUUGAUUGAACACCAAAUUGUUGUAAUCAAUUUACAAGGAAAUUUGUUGCAGCUAGAGGGGAGAAUUAACAAUCAGAUCUUAGGAGUUAAAGGGUUAAUUAACUCAACAAAUAAAGAUUGUUAAAGCUCUAAUGCCUAGGGUUGAGAUCUUGAGUUAUACCUUGACUACAGUCCAUUUCAGUCCAUUCUGGCAAGACCAUUAUUUUAGCAACUCAUUUUGCUCUAUUGUGUUUUUAUAACCAGUAUGGGUGCCCCUGUUAUGGUGGAACUUGAAGAUCAGACAGAUCCUCUACAGAUAGCCAUGAAGGAACUCAAGUAAAAAUUUUAUUGAGUUUUAACAGGGUAUUUAAGCCAAAACUUACAGCAUUAGUAGUACAACAGCCAGCACGAAGUAUUCUCAACAAUGUAAUCCAAAGAGGGUUUUUAAUUAUUUUUUCUUAGAUCUUUGUUUCAUGAUAGUUGAUGUGUGCCAAGAGGGAAUAAACUCCCAUGUAGAAAUCAAGGGUUACUUAUAUAUAGUAGGCAGCAUAGCCAAUGGGAUUGCAGCAUUUGUGAUAUAAUGCAUGCAGAUUUAUAAUAAUAUUCAUUAGACUAUAAGACAAAUGCAACUGGAAAAAUUAUUGGAGGAGUACAUCAAUUAUUGAAGUUCCAAGCCUCUUAGCCCUUUAACUCCCAGAAGUGAUGAACUUGUAACUUCUCCUUGUAAUAUAUAAACAUUGUCUGGCAAACAGGACAUAAGAACAUUCAAAUUAAUCAGGUGGAAGUUCUUAUCUUGAUCUAACACCAAAUUCUUGUAACUUAUAUACAAGGAAAUGUGUAAUGGUUUGAGGGGAGAAUUAACAAUCAGAUCUUGGAAGUUAAAGAGUUAAUUCUUUUUCAAUGUUGUUUGAGAGCAAGAAAAAUCUCCAUUAUUAUUAGUGAUAUCUUCCAGACAAAAGCAAUGAAGACUGGGGGAUAGAUGAACUUAUAGUCACAGAAUAAAACUGCAUUGGUGGUAGUUUUAUAUCAGGGUAACACUCAAAUGGAGAAACAAAAUUACCUGAAAAAAGGGUUUUUCUUUAUCAAGUAUUUCCAUUAUUCCUCUUAUGUUGUGACAUGCUAUGCAAUUAUUCAAUACCUGUACAGUCAAACAUUUAAUGUGAACUCCUGUUCAACUCCACUAAACCUUUAGAGUUUUGAACUUUAAAAAAUGUUUGGCAUCCAACACUUUUUUUUUAUUUUAACAAAAUAUUUUCCUUAAACUGCAUUUAAUCAAAGGAAGGUUACAUAAACCAUUCAUCAUAUCUUGAUAACCAAAUAUAGAACUAUUGUGCGAUAUUUGUCAUAAUUUCAAAUAGAGGAAUUUAGAAUUGGAUACCUUUUUUUUUUUCAAUAGGCCAUUCUUAAAAAAAUUCAUUUUCUAAAACAAACAAUGUCCAUCUUGAGGCCAGGGUCACUUUGGCUCCUUGUCAGCAGUAUGGUCACCAAAUAAUGACCUCUGGGAGAAUGGAAUUUUGGGGCUGUCCUGGUGUACCAGUACACGGGGGAAUUCCUAUUGUUUUCAUAUCCAUACAUGGAGUUGUGACACAGUUCGUUAAUGUUUCGUUCCUUUGUGUACCAGUACACGAGGACACAACUGGAAUUUUAUCCCAGAAAUUGUGGGAUUCUGACUUUCACUGUGCAUGACUACAUUCUCAAAUAAUGGCUUCCAGUUGACUCCUAUGCUUGCUCAAUGUAGAGCACACAGUCCUCUAUGCCAGUGGAAGUAAAGAAGAACAUAAAUUA